GACGAACGCUGGCGGCGUGCUUAACACAUGCAAGUCGAACGAUGAAGCCUUUCGGGGUGGAUUAGUGGCGAACGGGUGAGUAACACGUGGGCAAUCUGCCCUGUACUUUGGGAUAAGCCUUGGGAAACGGGUCUAAUACCGGAUAUCACUUACCCCCGNAGUGGGGGUUUGUUGAAAGUUCUGGCGGUACAGGAUGAGCCCGCGGCCUAUCAGCUUGUUGGUGGGGUAGUGGCCUACCAAGGCGACGACGGGUAGCCGGCCUGAGAGGGUGACCGGCCACACUGGGACUGAGACACGGCCCAGACUCCUACGGGAGGCAGCAGUGGGGAAUAUUGCACAAU
rnacentral:rRNA from 1 species